GUAGUCCACACCGUAAACGAUGGAUACUAGGUGUAGGAGGUAUCGACCCCUUCUGUGCCGGAGUUAACACAAUAAGUAUCCCACCUGGGGAGUACGACCGCAAGGUUGAAACUCAAAGGAAUUGACGGGGGCCUGCACAAGCAGUGGAGUAUGUGGUUUAAUUCGAAGCAACGCGAAGAACCUUACCUGGGCUUGACAUCCCGAUGACCGGUGUAGAGAUACACCUUCUCUUCGGAGCAUUGGAGACAGGUGGUGCAUGGUUGUCGUCAGCUCGUGUCGUGAGAUGUUGGGUUCAAGUCCCGCAACGAGCGCAACCCUAUUGUCAGUUGCCAUCAUUCAGUUGGGCACUCUGGCGAGACUGCCGGUGACAAAUCGGAGGAAGGUGGGGACGACGUCAAUCAUCAUGCCCCUUAUGCCCAGGGCUACACACGUACUACAAUGGCCGGAAACAAAGUGCAGCAAAAGCUGUGAGUGGAGCGAAUCACAAAACCCGGUCUCAGUUCAGAUUGCAGGCUGCAACUCGCCUGCAUGAAGUUGGAAUUGCUAGUAAUCGCGGAUCAGAAUGCCGCGGUGAAUACGUUCCCGGGCCUUGUACACACCUGCCCGUCACACCAUGAGAGUCGAUAACACCCGAAGCUGUGAGCUAACCGCAAGGAGGCAGCAGUCGAAGGUGGGGUUGAUGAUUGGGGUGAAGUCGUAACAAGGUAGCCGUAUCGGAAGGUCCGGCUGGAUC
rnacentral:rRNA from 1 species